AAAACUUUCAACAACGGAUCUCUUGGUUCUGGCAUCGAUGAAGAACGCAGCGAAAUGCGAUAAGUAAUGUGAAUUGCAGAAUUCAGUGAAUCAUCGAAUCUUUGAACGCACAUUGCGCCCUCGGUAUUCCGGGGGGCAUGCCUGUUCGAGCGUCAUUG
rnacentral:rRNA from 1 species